UGCGGGGUGGAGCAGUCUGGUAGCUCAUCGGGCUCAUAACCCGAAGGUCGCAGGUUCGAAUCCUGCCCCCGCUA
rnacentral:tRNA from 1 species